rnacentral:rRNA from 1 species
AGCAGCCGCGGUAAUUCCAGCUCCAAUAGCGUAUAUUAAAGUUGUUGCAGUUAAAAAGCUCGUAGUUGAAUUUCGGGGUUAGUAGAUUGGUCAUGCCUCUGGUAUGUACUGGUCUCACUGAUUCCUCCUUCCUGAUGAACCUUAAUGCCAUUAAUUUGGUGUUUUGGGGAAUUUGGACUGUUACUUUGAAAAAAUUACGAGUGUCUAAAGCAAGCUAACGCUUGAAUACAUUAGCAUGGAAUAAUGAAAUAGGACGUUCGAUCCUAUUUUGUUGGUUUCUAGGAUUGACGUAAUGAUUAAUAGGGAUAGUUGGGGGCAUUAGUAUUCAAUUGUCAGAGGUGAAAUUCUUGGAUUUAUUGAAGACUAACUACUGCGAAAGCAUUUGCCAAGGAUGUUUUCAUUAAUCAAGAACGAAAGUUAGGGGAUCGAAGACGAUCAGAUACCGUCGUAGUCUUAACCAUAAACUAUGCCGGCUAGGGAUCGGAUGAUGUUAAUUUUUUAAUGACUCA